AUCUGGUUGUUUUCAGAGCCAGCACUUGCUGCCAAAUCUGAAGGAGUGAAAAACUCCCUGGGAGGGCUUGUGUCUCAUGUGUGGCCAUCCCUCCUGCCUAGUAUUAAGGUCCACAGGCUCAUGGAACGAACCUCUUGAGUACAGAAUCCAGUCUUAUCUCUGUCACCUAAUAUCUACCCUCCCAUAGCCAGCAGCUUACUGUGAGGUUCUGCCAUCUCUGACUGUGUCCAGGCUCUUGUUAUUCAAAGUGUUUUACUGCACUUCUCUUAUUGCUAAAAAAAACCUGGAAGCCAUUUAAAAAUUAAGGUACCAUAAAACAUGAUGUAAUAAAAACCAAAGUCCACAAGCUUAACCGACAUGGGACAAAUAUGGCCAUCCUUAGGUAGAAGCAGCCAUCUGUCAUCUUCACCAGAUGGCUCAACGCUGGGCUUCAGGACCAGUGCCACUGCUUGGGAGAAACAGCCACAGGGAAUGGAAGAAGAAGAGGCCUUGUUUGAGAGAUUCGUACCUAAGCGGCCACCCCAGGACCAUCCACAAGCUUGGAUAAGCACAGCUGCUGUUCAUGCCUGCAGGGAUCAGAAGUUCAAUGACAGGCAAUAAUACAUACAAGGACAACCCGUGAGCACUUUGUGGAAAUGCCUGCAGAAGGGUACCUCCCAUUCUCCAUAGGCUUCAGGAUGCUUCUUGAAGCAGGUCACAGUGACAGAGGAUAGAAUGUAGGCCAGAGGGAGAGAAUACAUAAGGUUUGCUGACUAAAUACAUCCUGUAUGGACAGGUAGGCACCUCAGAGAGCAUAAGGAGGGAUUGAGUGUGGCCAGAAUGGACAUUCACUGUGGAUUUGUCUGAAGAACGGGGGAACCAAAGUGGGUUGAGCUACUAGAUAAAUGUGAAUUUUCUCAGUCAUUGACAGGGCAUGUGGGCAGCUGGGUAGCAGUCUCAAGUGAUGACAAGGAAGGCCUGCUUUGUUGGAGUCUGGAGAUGAAGGAGGCAGCAUUUGAGAACCGGCAAUGCUCCCCUCUAUAUGGCCAUGAAUGGGACCCGGGAAUGAAACCUUAGCUGGGCAGGUGCCAAAUCUGUUCCAAGAGCCUGAUGGUCACCUGCAGCAAGAAGAGGGCAAGGAACAACCACGGGAGUGUGUGUGUGUGUGUGGGGGGGGGGCAGGGCUCAGUUCCUGCGAUGCAAUGUGAGGUGCUGUCUGGAUCCUUACAGGAAAUGUUCAGUAGACACAGAGUUCAGGAGUGAGGUCUGGGUAGGACAGAAGCUGCAAGUUCGCUUCUUCUAGGUGACUAAAUAUGGCCUCUGCUUCCAGCCUCCACCUCCUUGAUGUCAGUCGUGGCUGGUCACACCAUCAAGUUCACUUUAAGUUCCCUUCUCUUCCUUUCUCUGCUCCUGCAGGGGCCUGCAAUGCUGGUGCUAGCUCAAUAAAAGCUGUAGGCAUCCACCUUCCACUACACAGCUGUGUUUUCUUACAGUGGUGGAGGUGGGAAGCCUGAGACCAAAGGUGGCUUUGCCUCCUGUCCCUUUCUCACCUCUGUAUUGCUUGUGGUGUCCUUGGCUUGGAGUAAUAUCAUCCUAGUCUCCGCUUAUAUCUGCACAUAGCCUCCUCCAUGAUUUCUGUCUCGUAGGACCUGCCUCACUUCUGCCUGACCUCAUCUAAUAUCAACUGACUCCUUCCUAUUUCCAAACGAGGUCACCUCCACAGGCACAGGGAUUUAGGACUUCAACUGUAAGCCUGAACUGUAGGACAAGAGCAGUAACUACCCCUCUGCCUCUGUGUAGACAUUUACUGGAUCAAGAAUGUUUCUGCAGGGAAAGGUAAGUCAUUCCUGAGAACCCAGCCUUGGACUGCUCAGGGGGAUAGCUGUCUUCCUUUACCAGAGAUAGCAAAAAACCCCAGGUCUCUCUACACAUACACUGUGGGACCUAGGCUGCUUGCUUUGGCUCAGCACUGCUAGUUCACCAAGGAGUCUGCUGCUGUCUGGCCUGGGGCCACCAUUCCACACUGGGGAGGGACUGAGCUGGGUGCACAGGAGUAGGGUGGGGUAGGGUGUGGUGUGGUGUGGUAUGUCUCCGCAGAGGUCAUGAACCCAACUCAACCUUUUAGCUGUGAACCUUUUAAUAACCCUGCAGCCUCAACUGUAAGAAGGGGCCAUUUGACACUCUUCUCCAGGGCCAUAGAGGGUUAAGUGACACUGGUCUGGUACUCAAGAAGAAACACACAACUUUAUGUUAUUCUUGGCUUGGCUUUGGUCCUCAUUUGCAACUUUAGUAGCAUCACCUUUGGGAUUCUUUCCAGGUUUUUGCAGCUACUUGUCACCUGCCUAAGCAGUUAUUCAGCCUCUCUGAACCAAAACACACAGUUUGCCUUGAAUUCCCAGGGAGUUCCCCAGGGAGCACCCCAGUCCCCAAUGCACAGGGUAGACAGGGGUGCCUGGACAAUGUCAUGAUGUCCCCUUCUGGGUUCAAUGGAUGAGCUUUGCUGUCAAUACUUCUGAGUAUGAAAUUAGCAUGUCAUUGCAUCACUACCAAAAGAGUCUAGACUUUUCCUUUCAGGUAUCAGGACCAUGGUAGGAAGAGAGGAAGGAGAAAGAUGGCUUAAGCUACCUGGUUAGGGAGCUUAGGGAAGAUUGUGAAUACUGGACCAGGUAUUCACUUCCUCUGCCACUUCAGUCCCCAGGUAAGGUCUGAAAGCCCCAUGCCAGGGGCUGGCACCCCAGUGAGCUGCUUUAGGAAAGGGCAGAUGUUCCCAUCUCCAAACCACUAUCAGCGCCAGAACUUACUGGCUUGGGGGCUGUCGGUCAUCGUGUUUCAUCACAAUAGUAAUCCUAAGAAAAGUCUUCUUACAUGGAUUAUUUCAUGGACCACAGGGUUCUUUCUAUUUUAAAGCAAAUGUGUAACACAUCUCCAUACUCCAUGGUCUUCAAGGAUGAGAUAGAAGUCUUUGAAGACAUUUUAAACCUUGAGGAGGCAGCUCAGGAACACAGAUGCUGAGUGUGUGACCGGCUUCAGGUAGUGCUUGCUCCAGUAGCAGAGUGCUGCAGGUAAGUCUGCUUGGUAUAGUGGCCAGCACUCUGCUCAGAUCCAGAGAUACCCAGUGGAUGACUAAGGCAGAGCUGAGGUAUAAACCCGGAAACACUCCUUAUGCUUGUUUUCUCUGUUUAUUUGUCAGAUGUUCAGAUAGCUACCAUAACCCAUGCCCUAAAGGCUUGCCUGGUCUCAUACCAGCUGGAUAAGAUGAAAUGCCAAACCUACAACCUAGCUGCCAGCACCAAGCCCUCAUAUGCUGGCUCACCCAUACAGGGAGACUAUAGCUCCAUCUUUGCUCAGCUCCUCUUCUUGCCCAAGAUCCUGUCUAUUAUGUCAGAUGGAACAUACCCUACGUAGCUGUCUUUUUAUGGAUGGAGCAAGGAGACAAGCCAUACAGAAGCAGUGCAGCCUGGCUCAAUUAACUGGAGUGAGAGAUUCAUAGAAACUGACCAUUGUAGGCUCCAGGCACUAGCCAUCCAGAGGGACCUGGUCCAUACAUUGAUGAACUCUUGAGACGCUGUGCCUGGAUCUAGCUCUUUAGGUGCUGAGUGUGGGGAAGGUCCAUGGGACACAGGUAUUCGGGCAUUGAGUGUGGGGAAGUCUCAUAGAACCUAGCUCUCUAAGUGCUUAGUGUGGGGAGGUCCCAUGAGAUCAAGCUCUUCAAGGGAGGUUGGGAUGGUCCUGUGGAGAGCUCCUUGGGGGAAUAGAUCUCUGAGAUGUAGCUCUUUGAAGACUUGGCCAAUUUGAUGUUUCAGGGACAAACACCAGCUCUGCUCAUGUGUCCAGAUCACCUUCAUAUCCAGCUUUGUGUGGCUGCCAGGUCACAGAGUAGGUACCAGCCCCUCAGUGCCCUGUACCCCUGGCACUGUGACCCAGUGGAACACAUGCCUCUGAAGAGGACCAGAUCCUGCCUUUGCUUCAGAGGCUAUGUAUGUUUUACUUCCACCUACCCAUAGAGAUCCAGAGGGCCUAUGAUAGGCUCUGUAUGUGUUAGCUACAGCUGUGUAACAGAUUACCCCAGUCAAGUGGCUCUAAACAUCAGUUACCUACGUUUCUGUGAGUUUAGGAUCCCUUCAGAUAGGCUAGAUUCUUCAGGGUAUCACAGCUACCUGGGCCAGUUCUUUGCAAGUCCCCUUGAUAGAUUUUAUAUUGCUGGCUUCAGCUCCCUACUGUCUUCUGGCCAGAGUUCUUCCCCACCUAGGCCUCUCUUCCUCUGCAGUUCUUCUUGGAAGUAUGAACAGGAGAAGGCUAUGAAGUAUGAAGUAUGAACAGAGUGAGUCCCAUAGAAUGGAAGGUGGCAGAGGUGAUCUUCCACUCUUCCCUGAUGCUUGCUGCCUUUGUCAGGGCUAGCUCCCAUAAGGACACUGACACAGGGAACCAGCAAGACAGGAGAGUGUAUGUGAUUUCCCUCUAGCUGUGGUGACAAUGACUAGACUAGACAGCCUGUGCUAUACUAGUCUGUUACUACAACAAAUAUCGGCUACAGUUAACUUACAAAGAAGAAAGCCUUAUUAAGACUCACAGUUUUCAAGUUUCAGUUCAUGGUCAGUGGGUCCUCAUUCUUUGGGUCUGAGGUGAGGCAGGGGAUCAUGGAGGAAGCAUGAGGUAUGGAACUGCUUACCUCAUGGCCAGAUUACAAAAUGAAAGGAUGGAGUUCCACAAUUCCCUGGGGGUCACCCUGAGUGAUUUAAUCCUCACUCCAGGCCCCACCUCCUGACUGUUCCAAGGUGAAGCCUAACUCUCAGCACAACCUGUGGAGCACAGUCCAGAGCCUAACCACAGCAGUAUGCCUUCAUCACAUGCCUGCCCUGGAUCUUCAGUGUCCGAACUCCAGAGCUGUGAAAUAAGCUUGCUUCGACUAUGUGUGUCUACCAGUAUGGGAGGCUCCAGCAGCAGCAGCAGCAGCAGCAGCAACCAACAUCCAUCUGUGCUUUUUCCUGUCUCCAUGUAGGUUUUGAAAGCUUUGGUGUCCUUGACUUUAUGGCUGUACAUUCUGGUGUUAGCCUCUUCUGUGCAGCCUUCGCUUGGCGUGUCCCACUCCUAAUGUUUUCUAUUUAGGGACAUAAGUUAUACUGUGUUGGCUCCUACACUUUUGAGCCUGGCUUCUCUUUCCUUAACUAUAUCUACAAAUGUCCUUUAUCCAAAUGAGGCCAUAGGCACAUGUGUGGGGUGUGACUAAUCUGACUCUUCUGGGAUUAAAGGUGUGUGCCACCAUACCCAGGCUAAAAUAAAUAUUGAAAAAUACAAAAAAUAAUAAUUUUCUGUUAGGUAGUGAGGAAAAACUUGAAGAAGAGCAAAUCACAUGGGUCUGGGGAUCUCCACCCCCUGGUCUGGAGACCCAGCACUUGGGAGGCAGAGAGGCAGGGGGAUAGCUGAACGUUUGCUGCAGGCUUGGUCCACACAGCAAAGGCAACAACACAGUCAACAAAAACAAAUCAGGACUAAGUACAGACUUUGGUGGGGUGAAAUGAGCCCUAUGAGAAAGGUUUGAACCUGAGCCAUUUUGCAGUUCACAGGCACUCACACUCUCCCAGACUCCUGUUCUGAUUGUUUCUAAGAUAGCCUACACCCUGGCAGGCAUGUGCAACUCUUUGAUAUCGUGACAUAUGCUGUCAAUAAAGGUCACCCUUGAGAACCAUACAAUUGAGUAUCCACUGUGCCCCAUCCCUUCCCCCCAAAUCACAAAACAUCCUCAUAAUAUUUUAAGUAAAAUUUCAAUUUUGUGUUGAGUGGCAUAUGCACCUUGGUAUGCUGUGGCCAAUAAGCCAUAGGUUGAACCGCCUGUGGGUAUCAGGGAGAUACGUGCUUAGACCUUAUAGAUCCAGCCACCCAAACACUACCAGGGGUCCUGAAACUCAAUUGCCCACCCUCUGGAUGAAAUCCAGGCAUGUCCACAUUGUCAGGGAGGGCUGAAUAGUUUAUGAUUUCCAGCUGUGACCAUCAUGGGCGGUGACUCCCCACUGUGCAAAGCUUAUGUAGACCUUCACAAACCCUGCAGUUCCAGGGUACCAAUGAACUCUAGCCUCAGUGUCCAUACACUAAGUCACACCUCACACAUGUGCCUAUGGCCUCAUUUGGAGAAAAGACAUUCAUAGAUAUAGUUGAAGGAAGAGAGGCCAGGCUGGGAAGUGUAGGAGCCAACACAGUAUGACUUGUGUCCCUAAAAAUAAAAUAUUAGGACUAGAAUAUGUCUAGAGAAGGCCACAUAGAAGAAAUGGCUAGCACCAGAAUGUACGGCAAAGGCAGAGAGGCAGAGAGGCAGAGAGGCAGAGAGGCAGAGAGGCAGAGAGGCAGAGAGGCAGAGAG